rnacentral:rRNA from 1 species
GACGAACGCUGGCGGCGUGCUUAACACAUGCAAGUCGAACGGAAACGCCCUGCUUUUGUGGCUUUCUCGAGUGGCGAACGGGUGAGUGACACGGGAGUAACCUGCCCUUCACUUUGGGAUUACGUCAUGACAUUGCGGCUAUUACCGGAUUGCAGAUUCUGCUGCAUGGUAGGCGUUUGAAAGUUUCGGCGGUUGGGGAUGUGCUCGCGGGUUAUGAGUUUGUUGGUGGGGUAGUGGCUUACCAAGGCUUCGAAGGGUACGCGGCCUGAGAGGGGGACCGGCCACCUUGGGACUGAGAUACGGCCCAGAGUCGUACGGGAGACAGCAGUGGGGAAUAUUGUACAAUGGGCGGAAGCCUGAUGCAGCAACGCGGCGUGCGGGAUGAUGGCCUUCGGGUAGUAAAGCGCUUUCGGCGGUGACGAAGCGUGAGUGACGGUACUGGAUAAAGAAGCACCGGCUAACUACGUG